GGAUAACAAAUUCUCAUACUUUAUUUCAAUUGCAGGUCUUCCACUUGUCAUCUAUAGCCUGGGACACAUGACUAUUCAGGACACUGGAGAACAGAGGGAAACACCUGGCUUGUGGUCUCCAAUCAGUCUUUUCAUUCAUUUAAGGAAAUCAUCUGCUCCAGCCUACUGCUAUGUAACAGCGGGCUGCGCUGAAUCUUUAGAUCCAGACUCAACAUGGCAGUCCUAUUCCUGGCGGAGCUCUCUGUCCAGUGAGUACGCUUGUAGGAAACAAGUGAAAUCCCAGGAAGACAGUGAAAGAGAGUGGGGAGCAGUUAAUACAGAUAAAUUACUUCAGAGACCAAGUGGCAGAAUAGUGCUACAGCGUUAAUAAUUUACUACCAUGACAUGAAGUCAUGGUAGUAAUUGUGCUUCUUCUCACCAUUGUCCUAAGAUUAAGGGGUAAACGCCCUUGUGUGUCUUUGCUGAACUAGGAAGCUCCUGAAGCAGCCGCCUUCCCCCUGUCCCUCAGAAACUGGAACCGGAUUAAGGGGCAAACGCCCUUGUGUGUCUUUGCUGGCCUAGGAAGCUCUUGAAGCAGCCGCCCUCCCCCUGCUCCUCAGAAACUCAAAAUGGCUCCCUCCGAUGGCUCGACUCCGGCUUAUCCCGGCAGCCUCCACCAACCUGCCCCCGAAAGGUAGUGUGAACUAGCCAGCCGGGCCCUUGCGUCUCCUCGCCAUGGCCAGGGCAGCCUGAUCCGCAGGGCUGGCAGAUGCAGGAGCCUCCCGCUCCUGCCUUUUCCCCGGGCGGGCGCACACCGGCCUGAAGUCGGGAGGCUGCGGCAGGAAAACAGCCAAGGGUCCAGGGCCAUGUGUCUGAGCGAGAGCGUGACUCCCAGGUGCACUCGCUGCGCUAGCCCUGCAGCCUCUGCAAGGAAGGCACCGCCCACGCGGCCCGCGCAGACUCCUGCUGCGUCCACUGGAUCCUGAGCGCCAUAGGAUACAUGGCUAUGAAAGACAUUCAUCAUACUGUGGGCUAGCCUGAACCAGCCACUCUGGAGAGACCACUUGUCAAGGCACAAUGGAUACGAACUGAAUCUCAACAACCAGCAUCAACCAUCAAAAGAUAUGCAAGUAAAUGACCCUUCAAAAGAGGCCCUAGUCUUUGGGUCUCACAGUUGAGGCCAUAGACAUAAUGGAGCAGGGACAAACUAUCUCUGCAAUGCCCCAUCUGAAAUCUUGACCACAGAAUCCAUGAGCAUUAUAGAUGAUUGUUUCAUAGAACUAAAUUUUACAGUAAUUGGUUUUUCACCAUUCUUGACACUUCACCAUAAAAUUAAUUUAUGUGUAUAUAUUAGUAAGCUUUGUCUCACUAAGUAGAAUAAACCGUUUAGGUCCAUUUUAGUCAGAAAAUUCUUCUAAACUGGUCUUAGCAGUAGAGACACCAAUAAGAAAUAAGCUCUGUUUUCUUAUAUAAAAGGAUUUAUGGUUUAGAACCACCAAAAAUUUGCCCAUCUCUGAAUCACAUAAGCUGAUAAAUGGAACUAUUAAAAAUCUUAACCUUUGUCAUAUCUUGUGAUGGUUCUGGUGGACACAUCCUUUGUAUUUCAGUUUUUUCUGAUAUUACCAACCUCCUCUAGUUUCGAUUAGUGGAAAUCAAGUGCAGUACAGUUGUACUUGAUUACUUAGAUCAAGAUAAUUCCAUCUUAGAAAAAGACUCCGUCUUAUAUUUCAUAGGGCACUUAUGCCACCAAGGACUGGAUGUUUUGCCUAAUAAAUGAAGACUGCUUCCAACCAGAUAAGGACAUAGCGAAGCACACUCCUCCACUAUCAGUCCUCACCAGAGGACUCUGUGGCCAUAAAAAGUACAGGACUUCACCAUCUCAAGACAGCUGUCUUAACAGACACUGUCUUGCUGUCACUCGUGAUAAGUACCCAACAUCUGCCACCAAAGACUCUGUCCACAUCAAACACUCUGCCUUGUAAGACUGAUAGACUACCCGGGCCAGACAAAGAUAUUCUUUUUGUCUACAUUGCUCUCCCUGGACUGGUUUGCUAACCCUUUUCCCAUUCCUUUUCUCUUGAUGUUAAAUGUUAAUUUGUCGUGGAAUGUUUAAUCUACUUACAACAUUUAUAUAUUGAUCAACUAUACUAUUGUGUGUGUUUUGCAAUAUUGACUGACUUGUGGAGUGGCUUGAGCUCAUGUAUCCAUAGCUCUGACUACUGAGUGAAUGGGAAGUACUAAAGAGAAUUGCUUCCUUGGAAACUCCAUGUAGCUUGUGGCUUUUGUAAUUGAAACAGCAUCAACACAAGUCUGACCUUGUAGAAAGACACAAACAUGCAUGGACCUAGAGAAUAGUCACAGUUCAGGACCCUGAAAUCAUGACCUUCCUGGGAGAGAAUGCCUGCCUUUGGAAAGUAAAUUUUCCAUAACCAGAGAGAAAGAAGAAGGAAAUGGGUAGUUGAUACUGCUUUCUUACCUCCGUGGGUAAUCUUACUUUUCUUAAUGUAUUUUGGGUGGGAAAGUGAAGAUAUGCACAAACUACUUUACCAUGUAUCUUGUACAAAGAGCAUAGUGGAAAGAGCAUAGUGGAAUUUUUAAGGUAGAGAUGAGUAAUCUUUCUCUUUCAUGUUACAGCUAUGUGAUUUAGGGCAACUUAUUUGACAUUUUGAAAGUUACUUUACAUAUUUGUGCAAUGAGGUCAGUAGACUUAUUUAUAGAGGUGCUAUUGAGUAAUAAAUGAUAUUGUAAAUGUAAAAUGUUUAGCACGAUACCAAACCAGACUCAUUAUAAAACAGAAGAAUGAAAUAGUUGCAGAUGAUAAUCUAAGAUGCACUCCUUCCCUCUUCCCUUUGCAUGUUUCUCUUUCCCUAGUAGGUCUUAUCUAGUCUCAUGUCUCCAAGAAUUAUCUAUAUGUCAAAUUUAUCUGCACCUCAGAAUUACCAGGCAAAAAUAAGAAAAUAUAAUGGAAACAAAGAUGAUACAAUCUUAGCUGAAUAGGGAAAUAGGUGAAGAGGAAAAGAAACAUGGACAUAAAAAUUAUAGGGUCUUUAUCAUCUGGAGAAUGGGGUUUGGAAAAGCAGGUUUCUGCACGUGAAAAAUAUAUCAUUUUAAAUUACGAAGCAGGAGUUUCAAAAGGCACAGUUAGUUUGUUUGGAAAAGAGAAAUGUCAUCUUAGGGUAGGAAAAGGAAACAAAUCACUGUAAGUAUAAAAUUGAAGUGGAAAUAUUCUUUGGUAAGGGAGAAUAGUGGUGGAGUGAAAUGGCAGUUUGAAGCCUGGUAGAUUUAAUACUGGUGAUCUCCUGGAAGCUGAUAAACAGUUUAAACUCACAGUGCUCAGCUAAGCCUUGAAGCAUUGGAUGAUACUCUAGUGUGGGGUUAAAGUUUCUUUCCACUUGGCUUACAUGGCUGAGAACCAAUAUCAGUAGGCAGAAACCAGGAUCUGGCCAUAGAACUUUGUGAACUGGCACAGUGCAUUUAUGAGGUAGCAUACGGAAGCAGUGUUGUAAGCCUUGUGCAGAUGACUGGCCAAGUAGGGUGAUCUUACUUGAGGAGAAUCUAUAGAUUAUAGUAAUUUGGCACAGUAGUUUAACCUGAUUAUAUACUUGUUUUAUCAGGAGUAAAGACAUUUUUUUGUAUCACUUGACUUCUAGUAAAACAGAUGUAAUUUCUAAAGCACAACAGAGAAAUAUGGCAGAUUGUCACAUACUUUUUAUUUCUUGUGAUCUUAGGGUGAUAUAAAAUUUAAAAUGUAGGUAACAUAAAAAUGAUUUUUAAGUUUUUCUUAAUAAAUUUUACAAACUAUAGUUUCUGUGUAACUAUAUUUCAUACUUCAUUUUUCAUUUCUACAAUCUUUCUGACACUCCUUUUUCUGUUAAUCGUUGUGUAUAAUAAAAGAAAAAACAUUUUCCUUUUCCAGUGAAUGUUGACAUUUUUCUU
rnacentral:lncRNA from 10 species